GAUGAACGCUGGCGGCGUGCCUAAUACAUGCAAGUCGAGCGAACAGACGAGGAGCUUGCUCCUCUGACGUUAGCGGCGGACGGGUGAGUAACACGUGGAUAACCUACCUAUAAGACUGGGAUAACUUCGGGAAACCGGAGCUAAUACCGGAUAAUAUAUUGAACCGCAUGGUUCAAUAGUGAAAGACGGUUUUGCUGUCACUUAUAGAUGGAUCCGCGCCGCAUUAGCUAGUUGGUAAGGUAACGGCUUACCAAGGCAACGAUGCGUAGCCGACCUGAGAGGGUGAUCGGCCACACCGGAACUGAGACACGGUCCAGACUCCUACGGGAGGCAGCAGUAGGGAAUCUUCCGCAAUGGGCGAAAGCCUGACGGAGCAACGCCGCGUGAGUGAUGAAGGUCUUCGGAUCGUAAAACUCUGUUAUUAGGGAAGAACAAAUGUGUAAGUAACUAUGCACGUCUUGACGGUACCUAAUCAGAAAGCAACGGCUAACUACGUG
rnacentral:rRNA from 1 species